rnacentral:rRNA from 1 species
UGGGGAAUAUUGCACAAUGGGGGAAACCCUGAUGCAGCAACGCCGCGUGAGUGAAGAAGUAUUUCGGUAUGUAAAGCUCUAUCAGCAGGGAAGAAGAUGACGGUACCUGAGUAAGAAGCCCCGGCUAACUACGUGCC